ACGAACGCUGGCGGCGUGCUUAACACAUGCAAGUCGCACGGAAAGGCCCUGCUUUUGUGGGGUGCUCGAGUGGCGAACGGGUGAGUAACACGUGAGUAACCUGCCCUUGACUUUGGGAUAACUUCAGGAAACUGGGGCUAAUACCGGAUAGGAGCUCCUGCUGCAUGGUGGGGGUUGGAAAGUUUCGGCGGUUGGGGAUGGACUCGCGGCUUAUCAGCUUGUUGGUGGGGUAGUGGCUUACCAAGGCUUUGACGGGUAGCCGGUCUGAGAGGGUGACCGGCCACAUUGGGACUGAGAUACGGCCCAGACUCCUACGGGAGGCAGCAGUGGGGAAUAUUGCACAAUGGGCGGAAGCCUGAUGCAGCAACGCCGCGUGCGGGAUGACGGCCUUCGGGUUGUAAACCGCUUUCGCCUGUGACGAAGCGUGAGUGACGGUAAUGGGUAAAGAAGCACCGGCUAACUACGUG
rnacentral:rRNA from 1 species